GUAACCAACUCACAUCGAUUUUCAAAAAAUAAACGUAUCACCCAACGGCGCUCUUAGUUAGCUAUAUAACCAACACUUUUCUAAACUGGGUAACGACAGCUAGCUAGCUACACCGUUGGCUACUAAGCAUAUCCCACGUAGUUAGCUACAAGCACUCCGCCAUUACACAUUAACUAGCUAGCUUUGUGCUGCUCAGUCACUGUUGGGCAAGUCUGUGGUCAAAUGCAACGUUCUUUCAACUCACCCGCCGUUUUGCGUUCCACCAAAUGACAUCAAUCUUCUAUUUGGUUGAAUUUCUCUUUGCGUAAAAACACUAACGUUUUAUACAGACUCCGCCAGACUUACAAUGUAGCUUGUCCAGACAGUGGAGUACUGCAAGAGCUUUCACUCUAUGCGAUAUCGUUCCCACUUCCUGUUUUUUGGGGGAAAGGACCGGUGCUGUGUUGAAUUUUGCUUCCCUCACACAGAUUAUUUUCUUCAAUCAUGUGCGACGCUAGGGGACGCAGUGAGCAGGCCGCGUCUCACCGGAUGAUGCAGUCCUGUGGCUGCCUGCUAUCAUCGUUUUCCUGCCACCCCAGGAGAGUGUUGCGGAUAUGAACCAGAUGAAUGUCUGUUCAGGUUUCCCAAAUGAAACCCCACAGCACACAGCUUGGUCUACGUGAAAAUGUAGGACCAGACAUCUUACAAGCAGGAUGCUGAGGUGUUGAUGCCAGAGCCAGUGUUGAGUACACUGGUGGUCUAUCCAUCAUCAGGCUACUGCAUGUGUUCACAGAGGUUCUACUGAUGCCCACUCUGACCGUGGAGCCUUCAGGACGACAAACAGCUCCACUGGCCACCCCACCACAGCUGUUAUUGUUUUGUUGCUGAGCUGAGGAGCGUCGCGCAGCAUGGUUAAAAAAAGAUCUGUACAUAUUAGUGCUCUUCUAUCAGGGAGGGAGUGUUUGUUGCUGGGCUGAGAAGCAUCGUGCAGCAUGGUUAAAAAAAGAUCUGUACAUAUUAGUGCUCUUCUAUCAGGGAGGGAGUGUUUGUUUGCGCUAACUUCUUCUGUCAUUGUAAUAUCGAAGGACAAGUGGCUAAAAAUGUUUGUCAAAGCAAUGUAUUCCUCUGUCUCUCCCUCUUUCCAUGUCUCUGCCCAUAAACAGUCCUCCCUUGUCAAGUUGGGUAUCAAAGCUCCUCUGACCUAUUGACACUUAGCUCAUCUGAGCCCCAUUCCCGAACUUACAAUUCAAAAUAAACUCAGCAAAAAAUAAAUGUCCUCUCACUGUCAACUGUGUUUAUUUUCAGCAAACUUAACAUGUGUACAUAGUUAUAUGAACAUAACAAGAUUCAACAACUGAGACAUACACUGAACAAGUUCCA
ensembl:lncRNA